rnacentral:rRNA from 1 species
AACGUAGGAGACAAGCGUUAUCCGGAGUUACUGGGCGUAAAGGGCGUGUAGGUGGUAUCGUAAGUCUGGCGUGAAAUUUCUCGGCUUAACCGAGGCAGGUCGUCGGAUACUGCGAGGCUAGAGGACGGUAGAGGCGUGUGGAAUUCCGGGUUUAGUGGUGAAAUGCGUAGAGAUCGGGAGGAACACCGGUGGCGAAGGCGGGUCUCUGGGCAAUUCCUGACGCUGAGGCGCGAAAGCGUGGGGAGCAAACGGG